GUUACAUGCUGUUGUUUUCCCCAUCAGUUCCCUGCCGCAUUGUUCCCUUGGAUUCAUAGUUUUGUUCUUCUCUGACUUCAUUGCUUUCUUGUGAUUUUUGUAAGAUUUUUGUUCUUUAUUUUUCUCAUUAAAUCUUCAACACUUCUUGACAUCUCAAGACUGAUACAUUUGGGUCCAUCAACAAGCACAAAUCAUGACAAAAACAAAUUUUUGAGGUUGCCUUUGUCUGAUGCUCCAUUGUGUGUGAUAACCUGCUGCAUUCAGCAACGUACCAGCAGCCCUGAAGACACUUUACUGUUGAAAGCAGCAAGUGGACAGAAGGUUACACUCAUUUUAAAUGCUGAGGUCUUCCAGCUCAGCCCUGAAGUUUGGAAGAAGAAAAUGAAAAAAAAUUGAAUAAGAAAUUACCUCUGAGCAAAAUAUCAAGACAAAGCUUGUACAGAUUUCAUCACACAUCUGACAAACUGCUGGAGAUACGAAUUUCUCUAUAAUUUAUUGUGUAUUUUGUUUGUUGCUAAGCCUUAUCACAUACACACCAACCUUUAAGUAAAGAACAUGAAUCUGUGUAGAUGGAGAAUCAGAAAUGUUUCAUAAUCUCAUUCUUUUUGUUUGUUUUAGCCAUUGUGUAUUCAGUCAUCAAAUGACAUGAUGUGUCCAUGCUCGAAAAGCAUCAGUCAAUGUUUAUAUCAAACAUCAGAAGAACUGUGGUAGAAUUGUUGGUGCCAGCCAGAAUGCUGCAACUAUUUCUAAAACUUGCCUCAUGUCACCAGUCCAGACUGGUUGCGUAACAGUGUGGAUGAUUAUUUUUUGUCACAGUGUGGGACAUCAGUCAGAUGUUGUCUCUGUAUUGUCACAGACCAUGUUCGUGGCCACAGCUACUCAUCUCUGUUUGCAACCCCCCGGAAGAACUAUGUAAAAUGACAGAAAAAUAAAUGCUGUGUAUCGUGUGAAUUUCACAUGUCUCCCCAUUCACUAAGAUCUGAACACUUUUGGGACUUGGUGGAACGAGGGAUUUGCAGCAUGGAUGUGCAGCUGGUGAAGCAGAGAAAUUAUGUGACGCAAUCAUGUCUACAUGGACCAGAAUUUAAAAGGGGUUUUUAUAACAUGCAAUGGAGUCCAUGCUACUAAAACAUUUUUUUUAUUGCAAAA